rnacentral:rRNA from 1 species
UACGUAGGGGGCAAGCGUUGUCCGGAUUUAUUGGGCGUAAAGCGCGUGUAGGCGGCCAGAUAGGUCUGCUGUGAAAACUCGAGGCUCAACCUCGAGCUGUCGGCGGAAACCAUCUGGCUAGAGUCCGGAAGAGGAGAGUGGAAUUCCUGGUGUAGCGGUGAAAUGCGCAGAGAUCGGCAGGAACACCCAGGGGGAAACCAGCCGACUGGGCAUCUGCUGACGCUGAUGUGCGAGAGCGUGGGGAGCGAACCGG